rnacentral:rRNA from 1 species
UACGUAGGGGGCAAGCGUUGUCCGGAUUUAUUGGGCGUAAAGAGCUCGUAGGCGGUUCCGUAAGUCGUGAAGUCAAAUCUCUGGGCUCAACCCAGAAUCGCUUCCGAUACUGCGGUGACUGGAGUCCGGUAGGGGAGUGUGGAAUUCCUGGUGUAGCGGUGAAAUGCGCAGAUAUCAGGAGGAACACCAACAGCGAAGGCAUCACUCUGGGCCGGUACUGACGCUGAGGAGCGAAAGCAUGGGGAGCGAACGGG